rnacentral:lncRNA from 1 species
GUUUGAAGUUGGCAGACCCCCACCCGCUUCCUGCCGCCCCAGCUUGCUGAACCAACUACAGACCCUUGGGGCUCAGCUGGGAGGAAUUUAUUGGUGGAGAAUUUCAAUCAUGGGUUCUUGGCUCAAACUUGUUGCUUCCCCCACCCCCAAAGUCUCCCCAGCAGUUUGAUACUCAUGGAACUGAGGCUCAAAGGAGGGACUUCUGACGAUCUCAGAAUUCCACCUGGGCAGGUCGGAGAGUUCACAGCCCCUCGUCACUCGGAGGAAGGGAAUGCAGAGGAGCAAGGAUGCAGGUUCCUGAGACCAUACAGAGAGGCCUUCCCUGGGCGGUUUCCAGACCAAGAAGCCCACGCCCUUCCCCGGGAGCCAAGCCAAGAAGGUCCUGGGACUGAGGGCCCCAUAUGCCGCUCAUUUUCCAACCCCUCUGGGCAGGGCUGCCUCCGCUCCAUGCCUCAGAGAGAUCUUUGCAAUGAUGGAUAAGCCGUGGCCCCGACGGCCCUGGCCCUGGGGAGGAAAAAAAACAUCUUUUGCAGUUUCGUGUAAAGCCUCCCACUUUUCGCUUAAUAAGUGCUGAAAGAGGCACAAACAGAGGGACCCCGAGCUUGCCAUGACUAACAAGAUGACCACAUCAGGCAGAGCCGAGCUGGGGGAGAGGACCGCGCCGGCCGGCCGCCCGGCUUCCCGGCGCGGAGGUGUCCGAUUCCCGAUUCCCUCCCGGGACGCUCCGCCAACAGUGCUUUGAAGCCAUGCCUAGGAGCCCGGAGCAGGGAGGCACGGAGCGAAGUGGGGAAAGGGCUGGUCCUCCCUCCCGCCUCCCGCAGGAUGGGCACAGAUCGCCCAAGAUAAAGGAACCGCAGCCUCCUCCAACUUGUGCUGAGUCGCUCUUUUCAAAAGCCCUUUCAGAUGGUUUCACUUCUCCGCGCGCGCUUUGUUGAAAGAUGUAAAAAUUUCAAACCACCACAGAGUAAACAUUUCAAAACUCGCUCUUUGCAAAAAUCAGUCACAUUUUCCCAAAAAAAAAAAAAAAAAAAAAUCUUGAAUUCCAUCUCUCCACGCACCACCACUCCCCCCGUCUCCCCCGCCCCCUCAAUCCCUUUUUCUGCGCUCUUUGGAUUCGAGUGUUUUUCAUUAAUUUAGAAGCAGUCCAGGUAAAGCUGGUGUUUGCGAGCUGGUGUUUUACGGGCGGGAAGUAGCUUUGUUAUUUAGGAGAUGUUUUAGAUAAGUCAAUGUCUUGUCAAAAUCAAGCAGGUUUUCUUUAUUAGGGUGAAAUCGUAAUGAACUCAUCUGCUUCUAAUAUUUAUAAAGAGAAGAGAGGCCAUUAAUUCUACUGCUUGUGAAUAAAACCAUCUGUGAUUUCUUUCCA